rnacentral:rRNA from 1 species
AGAGUUUGAUCCUGGCUCAGAUUGAACGCUAGCGGGAUGCUUUACACAUGCAAGUCGAACGGCAGCACGAGAGAGCUUGCUCUCUUGGUGGCGAGUGGCGGACGGGUGAGUAAUAUAUCGGAACGUGCCCAGUAGCGGGGGAUAACUACUCGAAAGAGUGGCUAAUACCGCAUACGCCCUACGGGGGAAAGGGGGGGAUUCUUCGGAACCUCUCACUAUUGGAGCGGCCGAUAUCGGAUUAGCUAGUUGGUGGGGUAAAGGCUCACCAAGGCAACGAUCCGUAGCUGGUUUGAGAGGACGACCAGCCACACUGGGACUGAGACACGGCCCAGACUCCUACGGGAGGCAGC